rnacentral:rRNA from 1 species
UACAGAGGGGGCAAGCGUUGUUCGGAAUUACUGGGCGUAAAGGGCGCGUAGGCGGCCUGCUAAGUCGAACGUGAAAUCCCCGGGCUCAACCCGGGAACUGCGUCCGAUACUGGAUGGCUUGAAUCCGGGAGAGGGAUGCAGAAUUCCAGGUGUAGCGGUGAAAUGCGUAGAUAUCUGGAGGAAUACCGGUGGCGAAGGCGGCAUCCUGGACCGGCAUUGACGCUGAGGAGCGAAAGCUAGGGGAGCAAACGGG